rnacentral:lncRNA from 1 species
UUAUUCAUUUUGAGUCAUUUUAUUUUUGUUUUUCCUCAACAUGUUCGUAAAAUAAUAAAUAGGUUUAUUUAUAUAUUCAUUUAAUUUUUAUUUUGAUUAUUUUAGAAUAUGUGUUUUUAUUUUUUUAUUUAGUUUUAUCUCAUUUUGAAAUCGAAAAUAUCAAAAGGGAGAAUAGGAAAUCGACACGUCACUUUGUUUGCAUCAUUAAAAAAAAUUAAAGAAAAACUUUGGAUCCUAUUUUGCAAACAACCAUUCAAGUGGUCAGCUGAAU